UUGGGAUCAAUAACCUAAAAAAAACGCAAGUUUCUGUUUUUUUUUCUUUCUUACCUUUUUUUCUUGCUUGCCUUUUCUAAAUCCAGUCGGCCGUAGCUUUACUUACCUUUUUUUUUUUUUUUUUCUAAACUAAUAUAUUAACAUAUGGACUUAUCUUCUAGGGUAAAUUACUCAAAUGGUCCUUAAACUUAUACUUGAUUUACAUUUUGGUCUUUCAACUAAAUUUUUCAUUCAAAUGGUCCAUCAACUAUAUAUUAUUUGCCCUAGUGGUCCUACCGUCUAAUUUUCUGUUAGAUUUAACCAAAUUUUAGGGUAAAUAAUGAUCAAUUUGCCCUCAUAUUUAACAGAAAUAUUGACAGAAUGUAACGGUAGGACCAAUAGAGCGAAUAAUAUAGACUUGAUGGACUAUUUGAACGAAUAAUUUAAUUGAGGGACCAAAAUGUAAAUCGAGUAUAAGUUUAAGGACCAUUUGAGUAAUUUACCCUAUCUUCUAUAUAUAUAAAGCAAAAGACAGAGAAUGGUGAAAACAUUCAAAAUACCAGAAAAUGCCCUUAGUUAAUUCAAACAUUAAGAAUUGAAAUUAUUAAUUAAAUGAGGAUAAUAUGGUAAAUUCACAUUUUUUAUAUUAAAAAAAUAAAAUAAAAUAAUAACUACCCAUGUUAUCUUUUCUUAAUAUUAAAAAAUAAUAAUAAUAAUAAAAAGAAAUUGGCACAUGCUCAUGCAUGUGCUAAGGAGCUAGUAUAUAUAUAUAUAUAUAUAUAUAUAUAUAUAUAGGGUUAUUUACUGUAGAAGUCCCUGAACUUGGCCCCCAUUUGCAAUUGGGUCAGUGAACUUUUUUUUUCAGCAAUUACAUUCGUUAACUUGAUAAAUAGUUCCAAUUGGGUCUUGCCAUCCAACUCUGUCAAUUUGUCCAUCAAAAUGAGGGAUAAAAGCGUCCUUUUCAGAAUGGAUUGAACAGAACCACAAUCUAAAAACAAAAUCAGAUGGAAUUUUUUUUUCCCAAAUAUGAUCAGAGAAACAAAACACCUAAAACCCAUACGAAAAUCCUGAUCUAAUCACAAACACCAACAAAAUGCAGUUCACAAAUUCAUCAAUUCAACAAACAACAAACAAAAGGAGAAUUUUUCCAAAGCUUUCGAGACAUGAACAUCUAAAAAGAACUAUAGAAAAAUCGGAGAAAUAGAAUCACAACGAAGCUAGCCAUCGUGAGCUCGGUGGUGAAGCUGGAGUCGCAGCGCCUAGCAUAGAUAGUGAAGCAGGUGCAGAAGUUGACAGCGUUGGAUUUGGCCACGUCUACCAACGUCGUGGCUUAGAUGGCGGUUGCGGUGGCAUUCAUUAUGGCGCCAAGGGCGCCGUCGCUGUUACGGCGAUAUCGGAGAAGGAGAGCUUAAGGGGAUGGGGUUGAGGGUGGGUUUUGGGUUUUGCAGGUUGGGAGAUGGGGGGUGGGUUGCAGGUUGGGUUGGGAUCUGGGUUUUGAGGGAGUGGGCUAAGGAUGAGGGGAAAUGGGUUGCUAGAGAGAGGGAGAGACAGAGAGGUAGAGCUGAGAGAGAGAAGGAGAGCUUAAAGAUAAACUCACUUACCUUCGGGAAUGAUUCACCUCCUCCAUUCCAGCCAUACAACUAUUUGGAAUAGUGGUAUAGAUGCUUUGCUUGAGGACUCAAAGGAGAACUGUGUUUGCUUCUUUUCUAGCUAAGCUAAAUUCAAAAGUCAAUGCCAGCCGUAAUUUUAUUUUAUUUUAUUCUUCAUUUUUUUCAUUUUUUUUGUUUUCAAUUUUACAAACUGUAAAUAGAGCCAAGUAAAUCCUAUGUGGUUUCUACCAAUCACAAAUGGAUUUGUAUUGUAAACUUGUGAAGAUGGAGGUGGGUUGUUAGGGUUGAUGAUGGAUGAAGAAGGUGGAUGUGGGGUCAAUGAUGGAUGAAGAACCCGAAAAGACGCUUUUACCCUCUCACUUUGACAGAAUUGGAAGGAAGGACCCAAUUGGAACUAUUUAUCGAGUUAACGGAUGUAAUUGCCGGAAAAAAAGGUUCACGGACCCAAUUGCAAAUGGGGGCCAAGUUCAAGGACGUCUACAAUAAAUAACCCUAUAUAUAGUAUAGUACAACCCUAAUUUCUACCCUUACCAGAUAAUCUCCAUCAAUUUCAAGAAUUCUCUUCAUCUUUCGACUGCAAGUAAGCCAUUUUAUUUUUCUCUCUAAUUCUUCGCAACUGUAAUUUGAAGUUCCAUAUAAUUUUUUUUCAAUAUAUUAGUUAUCUUAUUCGUUUAUGUGAUAUAGUAGAAAUUUGAUAUACAUGCAUUAUACUUGUAUCUUAGAAAUAUUAAUGGUGUUGUUUUAUAGCUAUGAAUUAAAAAAAUCCUGCGUGGAAGUAUGCAAAAGAAAUAGGGGGGAAAAAUACUUAAGAUGCACAUUUUAUGAUCAAAGAUGUAAUGGAGAAAUUUUUAGACCUAAGCAUCAUUUGGGUCAAACUCAUCAUGGUAUGCAACCAUGUAAGAAAGUUCUUGAGCAUGUGAAAAAAUAGUGUGUUGCAACUUUGAAAAAAUUUCAACCUGAAAAAAGAAAGAAAAAUGAAAUGCUUAGAGAGAUUGGGGAUGGUCCACGAGGAGGGGCUCAUAGUAUGGAAACUUCAUUGGAUGGUCCAUAAGGAGGGGCUUAGAGAGAUUAGGGAUGGUCCCGGUACUAGGAGUGUUGCAAUUGAUGAAGCUCUUAGAGCACAACCUAAAUCAAAAGGACCAAUGGAUAGAUUUGUCACUUUAGAAGCUCGGCAAAGUACAUUAAAUUCAGCAUACAAACAAGAAGAAAGAAAGGAAGUUUGUCGAAAGAUCGGUCAUUUUUUCUUCUCUAGAGCACUCCCAUUUAAUAUUGUAAAUGAUCCAUUUUGGCUACCUAUGGUAGAAGGGAUUGCCGCAUAUGGUGUAGGAUUUAAGCCUCCAUCAAUGCUGACAGAUGGGGAUGAGGCGAUGCGCACAAAGUAAUUGAGUAUGUGUUGCCCAUGUGCAAUCAUAGGUUGUGCUCAUGGCACGUGGCAACGAAUGCACAAAAUAGCUCAAAGGAUGAAGAAUUGGUACGAUCAUUUCAAGCAUAUCUUUGGGAACUAAUUACAGUCAAUGAGUUUGAAAAGAAAUGAGAGUUUUUGAAGGUCAGAAUUAUACACAUAAAUAAAAGGAUGACUGUAAAUGAUGUAUGUAAAACGAGAUGAGUGGGCGAAAUCACACCUCAGACCCAAGUUUUUCAGUGUAUGUGUACUACUCAAUGCGUGGAGUGUAUGAACAAGUUUGUGAAAGAUUACUUGAGAAAAGACGUUAAGUUGUUUGAAUGCAUAUCACCGAAAACAGUAAAAAAAAAUUGCUUACAACAAUAUUUGUUUUUAAUUAUAAUUAUUUUUUAAUAUGAAAAAAGUGUAAAUUUACCAUAUUAUCCUGAUUUAAUUAAUAAUUUCAAUUCUAAAUGUUUGUGUGGGCUUCAAUUAUCCCAUUCUGAGUAAAUAAAAACUAGGCCUAAAGUAUCCUGAAGGAGAAGCAAGUCCUAGGGAAUACUAUGUUUUUCUUCAAGUGGCUCUUCAGAUUUAUGACUUCUUCCAGCGGCUCUUUGGAUUUCUACGACGGCUGCAUGAGUUUAUACAAAGACCAUAUAAGCUUGGCAUGUGAAUCAGAAUAUUAAAGAGUUUGACAUGAGAGGCUUGUGAUGUGGGAGCUAAGUGCCCAUAAGUUUAGCAUGAGAGAGAGAUUUGCUAGAGGAAUGGAUGAUUAUGGCUGUGUGUUGUGGCAUAGUUUGGAUAAUGUUUGAGGCUUGAGAUGAUAUUCAGGGCAUGGUGAUAAUGUCUAAAGGAUGGAUGAGCUUGCAUCUGGCUAUUGCUUGGUUGUGUGGUGGUCAUGUUGGUGUUUUGGACUUGAAGUGGUGUGAGCACGAUGCAGAGAUUAAGGGUUGGUUUUGGGUGUUCCCAGUAGCUAGAGGAUGAGCUUGCCUUUAGCUACUGCUUGGCAAUGUCUGGGUUUUGUGAUUGGUAAGGCUUGUUGGUGUUUUGCAGAAGGUGAGCUUGCCUCUUAGUUGUUUCUAGAUGAUGUGCAGGGUUUUGGAAUGGCUAAGACUUGGUGUUUUCUAACAGAGGGUAAACUUGCCUUUGCCUUUCUUCUUUCUCCUCUUGGUAACUGAUGCCUCCCAUUUAUAGGAGCUGGGAGUUCUUGGCAGUUGUGGAAGAUUGGGUUUUUAAUGUAUGAAGGUGAGGCAUAGGUGGUUGUGGCUUUAAUUGAGUUUGACUAUGGUUUUGCUGCUGGAAGGGUUUAAUGCUAGAAGGUAGGAAAUUGGAGAUUGGGUAAUAAAGGUUGGAAGGUUGGUAGAAGGCGUGUUCUCUAUGCUUACCCAUUCAAUGGGCUCAAGAAAAUGAGCUUGGGUAAGCAGCCCAAAAUCUUCAGUAUUUUGAACUUUUGAUGGGCCUCAUGGAUCCUUGUAACCAUCUAUACCACAACCUAUUCAACAAGCUCCAUAUAUGUGGCUUGGGCCCACUUAAGCUUUAUCGGGUGGUUUAGCAUAGUAAAAUGUAUUAUUGGCUUGGCAUGACAUAUACUGUUAUAAAACUAGAGGGAAUUGUAUAGAGCAAUAAGAGGAAGAGAAAUACAGAGAAUUUUUUCUAUGAAUUUGUAUCAACCUAUCUUAUUCAUCUUUGAUAAGCGCCUAUUUAUAGGCUUACAAUAGAGGUAUUUAACCCACAAUUUAUAGCUAGAAAUUAAAAUAAUAAGGGCAUAGGUUACAAAGCAGUAAGGGGUGAAGGUAAUGGAUGUUAUGGUGGUCAUCCACAUUCCAUAGAUUUAUAACACUCCGCCUUGGAUGUCCACCGUACAAUGACAUUGUUGCCUCAUUAAAAACCUUGCUUGAAAAACCCAGUGGGACAAAACCGAAGACAAGGGGAAAAGAGUGCAUCUUUCUUCUGAAUCAUUGAUAUGAUGUUGGACAUGCUUAUGUUGUCUCUUUAAAACCUUACUAGGAAAAACCCAGUGGGACAAAAACCUAGUCGAAGGGAAAAAGAGUAUAACGCACAUAUGUCCUGUAUGUAGUAGAAUUGAGAUGCUCCCCCUGAUUUUCAUUAACUUAUGGAAUUUAGGCUUCAGAAAAAGUUUUGGUAAAAAGGUUCGCCAGAUUAUUUUGUGAACGAAAAAUCUCUUGGCUUUUUUUUUUAAAAAAAAUCACCUUUGAUGAACCCUUCUCUGAUUUGAGCAAUACAAGCAACAUUGUCUUCAUACAUGAUUGAUCUAUUCGACCUGCUUUUCACUUUUCAAAUGAUUGAACUCUUUAGGAGCAUCAACAACUAAUUUAAUAGUUAGAAUAUGUUACAACAAUAUCAAAUUUGAAUUCAAAAUACUCAAACUCUUAGUGUUAACUCUUAAUUAAGAAUAUUAUGGUACUUUAUAUCCUUCAAGGGGGUCGCUUCAUCCGAUAUAUCUCAAAUAUUUCAUGAGCUUUGAGAAUUUCCAUAUACCAUAUAGUCUUAAUAAAUAUACAUUAAACACAUGCUAUAAGUUUUGCUUUAAAAUAACAACUGCACUUAUAUAAAUGUGGAUGCAUCUACGAUGAGAUGGGAGACUAAAACCAUGUCUCUCCCAGGAAACCUUAUGUCAUAUUAGUGAUCUUAUUUCACUUCACAAACACCAAUUCGUAACCUUCAUACUUAACAUUUGUAAUUUGGUGUUUGAGCUAUAGGUUCAAUAUCCCACACUUCAUAUUUAGUGAUAAAUGGAAUUGCCUAUUUCUAUUUUGGCCAAUCACUUAACUUGUCGAUUCAUAAGGUAAGAUGUAAUAUAAUCAUAGCCCUUGAAGUAGUUACUAAUAAACCAAAUGUAUCAUCAAUUCGUGAUCCCAUAAUUCUCAUGUGCAUGCGCAUGCAUAAUUUAUAAGCAUUUCAUUGCUUUGGGGUACCAGUGCCUCUUCAGGGGCUUAUGUUGUCACUUAUGAGACAAACAUCUCUUUUACGAUGAAUUAAUUAGAAUAUGUGGAUUAUAACCUCCUAAAGAGCAUUAUUUUUGAUAGGGCUUGAAUUUUUCAAAUAAUCUCCACUUAUGGGGAGUUAAAUUUAUAGAACCUAUAUUUUUGUCACGCUUCAGACAUGCAUUAUAUAUAGUCACUUAUUGUCAUGUUAAUGAAUUGUAAUACAUGAAUAUCAAUCCGUGCUUGCAUAUUCAUAACUUCAUAUAUGCAUUAUCUUGAUGAGACAAAAACGGACCGAUUCAACACUAUUUCACAACGUUCUUCAAGAACUGCCAUUUCUCCCCCAUAACAGUGGGAAAAUUGUCUCAAAAUGUAGGAAAAUAAACUCAUCAUCAUUAUCAAGUCAAAUUGACUGGAUUGGAUAAUGUGGGAGUUGUGCUCAUAAGAGUCUUGAUAAGAGACAAAUAUGUGACCAUUUUAGUAGGCACAUUCAAUAAAACUGGUGAAGUGAUCCAUAAUUAAAUGUUGUAUAGGUUCACAAAUAUCCCUUUGAAUUAUUGAAGGAAAGAGGGCUCAAAGUCAAUUUUUGACUGAGAUGAUCUUAUGACAGCUUUUAUUUGUGAGCAUUCUUUGUAAUGAUAUUUGUUGGACAAGACAAUAUUUUGAGUCUUUAAACAAUGUCCUUACAAAUUUAUAAAAUUCUUAUGUAUCAUUGUGGAACAUGGAUUGCCAAGACAGUCAUAACACAACAUAAAAGUUAUCCAGUCAAUGAACUUCUGGUUCAUGACAUCAUAGUCUUCAAUUACUUUAAUAGUUGUGUAAUAUUAGGGCCUUAUGAACUUUUGGUUCAUGACAUUAUAAACUUCCUACCCACAAAAGAAAGUAGGAAGUUUCUCCAAUAGAUGCCUUUGGCUGUCAAUAUUGGGGCGGUAAUACAAAACAUUACUAUUGUAAAACGAAAUUAACUAAUAACCCAAUAUAAAUAAAAUAAAAUGAGUAAAGUGGUAUAAACGAGGAAUAAAAUAAAUAAAUUAAAGACUAUGAAAUUUCAAGAUAAUCCAAUAUUAAUAUGGAUUCAAUAUGUAGAUAAAACUAUAAUUUAAGAAUUGGAUUUCCAACCAGUUCAGGUUCAUAUAAGGCACAAAUAAGUAAUGAACUUCAAGUUCAUAUAUAGUAUUAAGAUCCAUGAACAACUAUGAAUUUCAGGUUCAUAUCAACAUAUAUUCGAAACUUCAUGUUCGAAUACGUAGAUCUAAAUAAAUUGAAUUAAUAGUUGUGCUUUGAACUUCAUACUCAAAUCGAUAUAUAUAUAUAUAUAUGCACUCGAAACUUCUAGUUCAGGUUCUUGACAUAUGUAGGCCUCAUGAAAUUCUGAUUUUGAUUAAUACAAAAUCAAGGAGUUUUAUGUCCUUAUGUGCUCUUUAAAUUCGCAGAAGUUCACGCCCUCAAUUAUUUGGAAUCAAAGAGCUUUAGGUUCUGAUUCAAUCGAAAGGACUCUAGGUCUUAAUUAGUUAUAUGAUGAGGAUCGAGGAUCUUCAGGCCCUGAUCUUUUGUAUAAUACAAACUCAUCAUAAUAAUUAAGAUCAUACAUAAAUUAAAUAAACAAACAAUAAAAAAAUAAUGGCAUUAUAUUCAUGUGCAAUAAGAAUAAGAAUUUCUUUUUCUUAAAUGAGCAUGACGAAGUCUGAUGGUGAGUACGAAGAAACUCUAUACCAUGUGAUGACUCUAGCUCAUAUAAGAAGAAAGAAAAUAUACCAAGAGCAAUGCCGUGUUGAUAACGCGUUAUAAAACUAGAGGGAAUUGUAGAGAGCAAUAAGAGGAAGAGAAAUACAGAGAAUUUGUUCUAUGAACUUGUAUCAACUUAUCUUAUUCAUCUUUGAUAAGCGCUUACUUAUAGGCUUACAAUAGAGGUAUUUAACCCCAAAUUUAUAGUUACUAAUUACAAUAAUAAGGGCAUAGGUUACAAAGCAAUAAGCGGUGGAGGUAAUGGAUGUUAUGGUGGUCAUCCACAUUCCAUAGAUUUAUAACAUGUACAUUAUUUUCUAUAUUUAUUCAAUGAAUUAAUUCCCAAAAUACAUCUUGGAUUUACGCAUGACCAAUAUUAUAUGUUAUAUUGGGCUUCUUGUGACAUCUUGGGCAUCAAUAGUUUGUAUAUUAAUCAAAGACAUUUUUUGGUAUUUUGAAUGUUUCACAAUUCUAUGCAUUUUGCUUUAUAUAUAUAUAUAUAUAUAUAUAUAUAUGAAAAAUUCCCAUUAAGUAGUUUUAGUAAGUAAUUUUUUUUAACAUUUAAAUUAGUUAAUGGUAUUUAUUGGGAUUUUGGAUUAGUUUUUUGUUGUUGAAGUUAGGAAGGGAAAAGGGGACAACCUCACACACACUCGCCAUAAGAGCUUGAAUCCAAUACUCUAUUGGUUAUAUUUUGAAACAAAGUACGUUAGUGUUUAAAUUUCGAAACUUGUGUUAAUCUAAAUUUCGAAAAUUGUGUUAAUCUUCGAGCAACUCCCGUACAAAUCAGAAGUACGAAAAUAAAAAUGGAACUUAACAUGAUAAUGAUAAGUGCAAACAUAGCUUAACAUUAUAAAACUUUCUUUCUUAAUGCCCAGUUUACAAAUUUAGGAAAAAUUUAGGGAAACCCUAGAGUAUUGUGUAUUCAAUCCUCAUAAGAAAGAACAACAUAACUUCAGCCAAAAAGAAGAAAAUUAAACACAGAAAUAAGUAUAACAUGUGAGUUAUUGCCAGCCCCCCUGUGAAGCUCUGUACAAGUCAAAUUCAAGGCAAUAAAAGAAAAUAUCAUACAAUGGCAACAUCAAACUUUGAGACUAGGAAUAUGAGUGACACAGUGGGUGGGCAAAAAAAAAUUUAAAAACCCCCCCCCCCCCCCCCCCCCCCCCCCCCCCCC
rnacentral:lncRNA from 1 species